rnacentral:rRNA from 1 species
GACAGAGGAUGCAAGCGUUAUCCGGAAUGAUUGGGCGUAAAGCGUCUGUAGGUGGCUUUUUAAGUCCGCCGUCAAAUCCCAGGGCUCAACCCCGGACUUGCAGUGGGUACGGGCAGACUAGAGUGUGGUAGGGGAGACUGGAAUUCCUGGUGUGGCGGUGGAAUGCGCAGAUAUCAGGAGGAACACCGAUGGCGAAGGCAGGUCUCUGGGCCACUACUGACGCUGAGAAGCGAAAGCAUGGGGAGCGAACAGG